UACAGAGGGUGCGAGCGUUAAUCGGAAUUACUGGGCGUAAAGCGUGCGUAGACGGUAGCGUAAGUCAGAUGUGAAAGCCCCGGGCUCAACCUGGGAACUGCAUUUGAGACUGCUCUGCUCGGGUGCGGAAGAGGGAAGCGGAAUUUCCGGUGUAGCGGUGAAAUGCGUAGAUAUCAGGAAGAACACCCGUGGCUAAGGCGGCUCUCUAGUACGGUACUGACGCUGAGACGCGAAAGCGUGGGGAGCGAACAGG
rnacentral:rRNA from 1 species